ACGACCUUACUUGAACAGGAUCUGUUCUAUAGGCUUGUACCAUUGUGUCCUUGAGUUCUAAGGAGACAAGAAUCGAAGUCUGGUUGAUGAGACAUCACCGUGUGACCAGAGCGUGAUUAAAAAGUGGCUUGAUGAGCUCUCUCGAGAGCUUCAUCUUGGGCAAUGGAUGGUCACACGGUUGUCUGACAUACC